GUGCUCACUUCAGCUGCACAUAUUCUACAACUGGAUCAACACAGAGGAGACUGGCGUGGCCCCAGCCCAUGGGCAACAUGCAAAUUCAUGAAGUGCUCCAGAUCUUU
ensembl:snRNA U6 U6 spliceosomal RNA